ensembl:lncRNA
AAAAAAAUACUUGAACAAGGAAAUGUAACAUUCAACAUCAAUUCAACCUCCAGCUUUCCUCGUGAGUGCCUGGUUUGUUUAACCGAAUCAAUCCGCAGGCCUUUGCCUUCUCUCGUCUCGAGCUACUCGCUCACAACCAAUCACGUUAUUCUGGUCAGUUCUUAAUUGAUUUCAGCUGCGUCUCCCCCGCCUCUCCUUAUAAAGCGCCCCCACCGUGACGGUUGUUAAUCGUUUUUUUUGCGUUGGGUUGCGUGGGUUGAACAAUCCGGACAUCGUGGCCACCGACGUGGACCCCCCGCCACCGGGACCCACGCACACCGACCACCACACUGGGAAGUGUCCUCUGCUCACUGUGGAAGCAGCAUGGAAGAACUGCAGCAACUCUGAUGGAAACUACAGGACAUCCACGCUGUUGAACACGAACUAUUUCAGGCCUACUACAAACAGAGGCGGUCCCACUCGGUUAAAGAUCUCGUGGUCAAUGCGGCCGACCGCUGGACCUGGACGUCACCUUCUGCAGAUACUUCACUGCCCUCAAGAAUCCACGGAUAACUUGAAACAUGUCCGACUCCACAUGUCCGAAAAAUCCAGGAUGGAAACUUGUGGAAGGAAGAAAGGGUUCUGUUUUUGCUAAACCCAUAACCCCACUGAGCCCUUCUGUGGAAACCUGUCUGACUGACCCUACUGACUGGGGGCCUGUUGAUGAGUGUUUGGUUGGUCUGGUAGAAGGUUUGCUGCUUGUGAUCUGCAAGGUGGUCCUGGGUUAGAUGCGGUGUCUGACUUGCACACCACUCUCCCAAUUCUAUUCUUCUCUUUACUACUUUUCUACUUUCAAUACACGUGCUGCUGCUGCUGUUGACCGCUGGUGGUGCAAUGUGGUUUUUAUUCGCGUAUGUUCUGUGGACUUUGCAUUUGUAUUUUAAUGAACAUGUUUACUGCCUGUUAGACCUCGGAUUGGCAAACCUAAACUCCUUCACUGGCAAAAUGUAGAUGCAUAUUAAAUGCCAAAAUUAACAUUUCAAUAUUCGUUUUGCGUAUUUUACCAAUAGCUUCGGAACUAGACGAACCUCAUAUAUAAAUUGCUCUUCAAAGAUGCGGUCAGGCGCCCCUCCUUUAUAUAACGUUCUCUGCCCGGUACGAAAUAGACCGACCAAUAACAACCCUUUAGGCUAUCUAAUGUGAGGUUGGAUAUACGCAACAUGUAGAGGUGUUUCAACAACAAAGAUGGAAGUUAGUGAACUAAAGACUGUAUAUGCUCACUAAAAGAACGAACGACUACUACUCUUAAAGAUUUUGAGGAAUAUGUAUUUCUGCAUCACCCGUUCCAAUGCUAUGAUUAGUCGAGGCCUAUCCAAUAGCAUAGGAUCGACCCAUUUUAGAUCGCGCCCUUUAGACACGCCUUGGAAAUUGAACAACGCACUUCAACGCAGAGGAUCCAGAAGGAUUUCACAACGAGUCCAUUGGAAGAUAUCGAGGAACAUGAACAUCACCAAUGAAGGAGAGUAACGUUUCCACUUGCUAUAGGAAUUGAAGCACUAAAUAGUUAAUAAUAAUAAUAAUAAUAUAAAAUGUGGUCACCAUUUAUUGACUUUUUGGGUAAGACUUGCUUUACUAAUAUAACCACGUUAAAACCGCAUUCAUUUACUUUUCUUGUGUAGUUUCACACUAUUCAUUAAAUGUGUUGUAGAAGUAAAAAAGUAAUCAAUAGAACUAUGCACAUUUGUACAACUAAUCAUUACACAGGAUUUGAACAUUUUCUAUAUUCGAGCUCAUGCUUCAUAAUAUUUCCAAGGAUUGCAGAGUACCAAAUUAUUUAUGAACAGUGGUUUGUUUUUGUUCAGGAGCGGAUUGUACUCCCAGAGGCUUCAACAGAGCGGGUCUGGAGCUGGGAGCUGCAGGUGGAUGGUGGCCAGGAGCCGUUCAGUCCUACAGGAACAGACGGUAGAGGUGAUGGAGGUGCUCGCCGUGAGGUCCGUGGCGGUCGUCUGGAGGUGCUCGCCGUGAGGGCCGUGGCGGUCGUCUGGAGGUGCUCGCCGUGAGGGCCGUGGCGGUCGUCUGGAGGUGCUCGCCGUGAGGUCCGUGGCGGUCGUCUGGAGGUGCUCGCCGUGAGGUCCGUGGCGGUCGUCUGGAGGCGCUCGCUGCAGCUGGAGGGAAGGCCGGGAGCCGUACAGCCCAAGGGAUGCAGAACGAAGGACUGAGGUGGAGGCCAGCCUGGAGGUGGAGGCCAGCCUGGAGGUGGAGGCCAGCCUGGAGGUGGAGGCCAGCCUGGAGGUGGAGGCCAGCCUGGAGGUGGAGGCCAGCCUGGAGGUGGAGGCCAGCCUGGAGGUGGAGGCCAGCCUGGAGGUCCUGGAGGCGUCCAACCUGGAAGGGGCAGCAUGGAGGGCCAGAAGGGCCUGGAGGCGGCCAACCUGGAGGUCCUGGAGUCGGUGGGCCUGGAGGCGAUGGCAGCGGCCAUCCUGGAGGCGGACUACCUGGUGGUCCUGGAGGCGGAUUGUGGAGACCAUCCUGGAGGGCCUGGAGGUGGCGCCGGCCUGGAGGACCUGGAGGGGGCGAAGGGCCUGGAGGAGGUGGCCAACCUGGAGGCAACGGCGGGCCUGGAGGCGGCCAACCUGGAGGAUUGAAGGAGUCACUGGGAUGAAGAUCCCUGCUGAGGGGCUGACGACCCCCACACCCACUCAUCUUUCCGGAGAAGCGUCCUCAUGGUGCAGGCGGUCAAACCUCCACCUCUUUGAAGAGACCAAGCAGCUUGACUGACUGACUGGUUCCUUAUACUCCGGACCUCGUCCCGGAGCAGAGGACAGACCUAAGGCCUGCAGUCCAGCGGUCUAGGGACUCCAUGUGGAACCGGUUCAAUAAUGUUGACCUCUCCUUCAGGCGACUUAAAGGGAGACCAGAUGUGCGGCAGCUGGGUGUCAUGGUGCAGAGACCCAACGCUGCACUGAACUACACCAGUGUGUCCUACUCCCCAUAAACCCUGAGGAUCCCUGGCUACACCAGCACAUUAAUCCACACCCAACAUUAACACACAGUGCACACUCUAUAGAGCUUGUAAGUCCGCCCCUUGCGGUGGGACCUCGUGAGAUCGUAAGAUAUGACUGGGUUUCAAUGGAGAGAAAGUAAUUAUUUUCUCCAUUAUGUUGCACCACAUUUUGGGGGAAGAAUGUUUGAAUCAAUCUUUGUCAUUUAUUUCUGUACUCCACAUCUGUAAUCCCAGCUGUUGUAUUUUAACACUGUAGCUGGGAACCCUCUUUAUAGGGAGCGGCUAGAGGGACGAGGCUGGAAGCAAACCUGAGCCUGGAUCUUAACCUUCUUUCUAAACCUAAUGCCGCAAUUUAACCGCAAAUAAAGUGAGGCCUAAAGUAACUUGACUCUCUUACCUAAACUUGCUUGCCUAAACUCGCUUGUCUAAACUCGCUUGCAUAAAACCUAAACUCGCUUGCAUAAAACCUGAACUUGCUUGGCUAAACUCGCGUCGCUUGCCUAAUACCUGAACUUGCUUGCCUAAACUCGCUUGCCUAAUACCUGAACCCGCUUGCCUAAACCCGCUUGCCUAAACCCGCUUGCCUAAACUCGCUUGCCUAAUACCUGAACUCACUUGCAUAAAACCUAAACUCGCUUGGCUUGACUCGCUUGCCUGUACUCGCUUGCCUAAUACCUGAAGUCGCUUGCCUAAUACCUUGAAGUCGCUUGCCUAAUACCUGAACACGCUUGCCUAAAACCUAAACUCGCUUGGCUUGACUCGCUUGCCUGUACUCGCUUGGCUAAAUACGCUUGCAUAAAACCUAAACUCGCUUGGCUUGACUCGCUUGCCUGUACUCGCUUGGCUAAACUCGCUUGCCUAAUACCUGAAGUCGCCUGCCUAAACUCGCUUGCCUAAAACCUAAACUUGCUUGUCCAAACGCGUUACACAAAGUUAACCAUCCAUAAUCUUUAACCCAAACCAGACUUGUCCCUGGGUCGCUCCACUUUAAUUUAGAAGUUUCUUCUUUUACCUCAUCUGCGUUUUGAGUUUCAUUCUUUGAGGGCUUGAAGUGCUUUGGAGGAUAUUUGAACCUUUGUUUGCCGCAUCAAUAAACAUGCUUUAUCUUUACCCAUUUUGUUUAGGAUUGCAUUUCUAUGUGUAAUCCGGCCAAAGGUUCAGUGUCCUUGCAUGUAAUGUCUAUGGUCUGACGAUAAUCUGACCUCUUCAUGAAGCAGAAUGUGUGUGAAUGUUGUCCCGUGAGCUCCAGGCUCUCUGUGGGCCUGUCAAUGUCUCUUUAGCAAAAAAUUGAAAUUCAUUUUUGUACCAUUUUCCUGUGUUCCUGAGUAUUUCAGACCUGUGGUGUUUCACAUGAGACCUUAAUGGGAACUUUUAUUUUUCUGCCUGCAUACGUAAUGCCUACAGUAGGGUGAUCACUGUUGAUCCCAAUAUUGAUCAUUAACCACCUCAUUCUUUUAUGAUUUUUUUCGAUAAGGAUUACAAAUCAUGUAAUUUAUGAGCAUAUUUGCAAAUGGCUCCAAAUAUCAGAUUGUGUAAAAACUAAUGAAAUGUAACCUGCUUGAUUUCAAGAAAAUAAAACAUCCAAAUAUUAUAAACCUGUUUUGUGCUCUCUUCAUUUGGAAAUGAAACGCAGAUAUGUUUAGCUCUGAUUUGCUGCCUCCUUUUGGUGUGGUGCUGGGAUUUGUUUAAUAUACUAUUAUCAUUUCCAGGAUAAGUUAAUAACCUAGUAUAGCCUACGCGGAAAAGAAGGGAUACGAUGGCCAGGGCAGGCUGUUUCGGUGUCCUGUCAACAUAUUGUGAGC